GGCGCGCGCCCAUCUGAGGCCGGUUCGCAGCCUCCCCUCGGGGAGGGGACCUAGGUAGCUGGAAAGUCAAGCAGUCCAUCCCUUCUGCCGCCAUUGGGCCACCCUCUCACCCAGUCAGCAAAGUUGGUUUCCCUCAGUUACCUCAGCCUCGACCAGAAAACCGGCCUGGAGUCUUGAAGGGAAAGCACUGCUCUAGAAACAUAAUGCCCCCCAUCUGCAGGCACUAGAAUUAACAGUUGCUUGAAUAGGAAACUGGGAGAAAAAACGUAAGAGCACCAACUUAAGCCUGGGAUUUCCCAAGACUCAGCAGAAGCAAUCCCAAGGUAUACUGCAGGUACUCUACUGAUGAUCCAAAGGAAGUGCUCUCUUGUUCUCAACCUCUUGACUAAGUGCAGUAAAGCUCAUCAGGAAGAGAUGCCUGAAUCUACUACAUCAGCCUUUGAUAAUACUCACUAGAUGUGAAGACUAUCAGAAUAUAGGCAAAGAGAAAUCGAUUCCAGCUGGGGAACUGGAAAAAGGCAGAAAAGUAUGCUGUUUCACCUGAUGAGG